rnacentral:rRNA from 1 species
AUUGAACGCUGGCGGCAGGCUUAACACAUGCAAGUCGAGCGGGGAAGGUUGCUUCGGUAACUGACCUAGCGGCGGACGGGUGAGUAAUGCUUAGGAAUCUGCCUAUUAGUGGGGGACAACGUUCCGAAAGGAACGCUAAUACCGCAUACGCCCUACGGGGGAAAGCAGGGGAUCUUCGGACCUUGCGCUAAUAGAUGAGCCUAAGUCGGAUUAGCUAGUUGGUGGGGUAAAGGCCUACCAAGGCGACGAUCUGUAGCGGGUCUGAGAGGAUGAUCCGCCACACUGGGACUGAGACACGGCCCAGACUCCUACGGGAGGCAGCAGUGGGGAAUAUUGGACAAUGGGCGCAAGCCUGAUCCAGCCAUGCCGCGUGUGUGAAGAAGGCCUUUUGGUUGUAAAGCACUUUAAGCGAGGAGGAGGCUCCUUUAGUUAAUACCUAAAGUGAGUGGACGUUGCUCGCAGAAUAAGCACCGGCUAACUCUGUGCCAGCCGCCGCAGUAA